rfam:Kluyvera intermedia strain CAV1151, complete genome.
CAGUGCUCAACGGGGUGCUACGCCAAAAGCGUGUGCUGAGAAAAUACCCGUCGAACCUGAUCCGGAUAACGCCGGCGAAGGGAUUUGAGGCUAUCGCUUAA